rnacentral:rRNA from 1 species
AUUGAACGCUGGCGGCAUGCUUUACACAUCCAAGUCGAACGGUAACAGGCCGCAAGGUGCUGACGAGUGGCGAACGGGUGAGUAAUGCAUCGGAACGUGCCCAGUCGUGGGGGAUAACUACUCGAAAGAGUAGCUAAUACCGCAUACGAUCUAUGGAUGAAAGCGGGGGACCGUAAGGCCUCGCGCGAUUGGAGCGGCCGAUGUCAGAUUAGGUAGUUGGUGGGGGAAAGGCUCACCAAGCCAACGAUCUGUAGCUGGUCUGAGAGGACGACAAGCCACACUGGGACUGAGACACGGCCCAGACUCCUACGGGAGGCAGCAGUGGGGAAUUUUGGACAAUGGGCGCAAGCCUGAUCCAGCAAUGCCGCGUGCAGGAAGAAGGCCUUCGGGUUGUAAACUGGUUUUGUACGGAACGAAACGGCUCUGGUUAAUACCCGGGGCUAAUGACGGUACCGUAAGAAUAAGCACCGGCUAACUACGUG